AACGAACGCUGGCGGCAUGCCUAACACAUGCAAGUCGAACGAGACCUUCGGGUCUAGUGGCGCACGGGUGCGUAACGCGUGGGAAUCUGCCCUUGGGUUCGGAAUAACAGUUAGAAAUGACUGCUAAUACCGGAUGAUGUCUUCGGACCAAAGAUUUAUCGCCCAGGGAUGAGCCCGCGUAGGAUUAGCUUGUUGGUUGGGUAAAGGCCUACCAAGGCGACGAUCCUUAGCUGGUCUGAGAGGAUGAUCAGCCACACUGGGACUGAGACACGGCCCAGACUCCUACGGGAGGCAGCAGUGGGGAAUAUUGGAAAAUGGGCGAAAGCCUGAUCCAGCAAUGCCGCGUGAGUGAUGAAGGCCUUAGGGUUGUAAAGCUCUUUUACCCGGGAUGAUAAUGACAGUACCGGGAGAAUAAGCCCCGGCUAACUCCGUG
rnacentral:rRNA from 1 species